GCCCGGGUGGCGGAAUGGCUUACGCACAACACUUAAAAUGUUGCGGUCUUACGACCAUGUGGGUUCGAGUCCCACCCCGGGCACAA
rnacentral:tRNA from 2 species